CUUGCAGUUAACGAUUGACUUGGAGUUCAUACACUAGAACCUUGCUCAAGAAAAAAGUUAUAAAGAUGAAGACGUCUUUUAUUCUUGCUCUAAUGGUGAUGAUGGUCAUGGUGUUCGACACUAGUGCUCAUCCAGCAGUAGUUGGAUCAUGUUUGAAUAAAUGUGUGCAGAAUUCACAGAGKUGCUAUAGCUUUUGCACAGGGGAUCUUUGCAAAAUGUGUCCUGGGAUGGUGAGCUCAUGCAAGGGAGCAUGUAGAAGAAGAAGAWGAUGAGUUUCGCGGUCUCAACUUUGAACUAUAAUUGUAUUAUCGCGGAAUGGUUUACGAAAGAAACGUAAUCUGGUUUCAAGUGUGGUUAAUAGCACUAUCUGUAAUGCUUUAAGAUGUGUAUAAAUAAACUCGAUAUCUCUCA